CUUACACAUGCAAGUCGAGCGGCAGCGCGGGGCAACCUGGCGGCGAGCGGCGAACGGGUGAGUAACACAUCGGAACGUACCCUGUUGUGGGGGAUAGCCCGGCGAAAGCCGGAUUAAUACCGCAUAAGACCUGAGGGUGAAAGCGGGGGACCGCAAGGCCUCGCGCGACAGGAGCGGCCGAUGGCGGAUUAGCUAGUUGGUGGGGUAAAGGCUCACCAAGGCGACGAUCCGUAGCUGGUCUGAGAGGAUGAUCAGCCACACUGGAACUGAGACACGGUCCAGACUCCUACGGGAGGCAGCAGUGGGGAAUUUUGGACAAUGGGGGCAACCCUGAUCCAGCCAUUCCGCGUGAGUGAAGAAGGCCUUCGGGUUGUAAAGCUCUUUCGGCAGGAACGAAACGGUGGGCUCUAACAUAGUCUGCUAAUGACGGUACCUGAAGAAGAAGCACCGGCUAACUACGUGCCAGCAGCCGCGGUAAUACGUAGGGUGCGAGCGUUAAUCGGAAUUACUGGGCGUAAAGCGUGCGCAGGCGGUUUCGUAAGACAGAUGUGAAAUCCCCGGGCUUAACCUGGGAACUGCGUUUGUGACUGCGAGACUGGAGUGUGGCAGAGG
rnacentral:rRNA from 1 species